AUUUCCGCUGGCUGGUUGUGUGUGCAGGCAUCUUUCCAGUCUACAUGUGGAUCCAGGAGUCUGCAGGCUGGUUAGAUGGUUGUCACGUACCCAGCAAACAUCACA
rnacentral:pre_miRNA from 8 species